GCUCGUAGUUGGAUUCCUGGCCUGGGGUAGCCGGUCCGCCUUGCAAAAGGUGCGCACUGUGCGGCCUCGGCCAUCCUUGAGAAGAGCUGUUCUGGCAUUCAGUUGUCGGGGCGGGGAUUCUCGACGUUUACUGUGAAAAAAUCAGAGUGUUCAAAGCAGGCUUACGCCUUGAAUACAUUACCAUGGAAUAAUGAGAUAGGACCUUGGCGGUCUAUUUUGUUGGUUUGCACGCCGAGGUAAUGAUUAAAAGGGACGGUUGGGGUUCUUCGUAUUCAAUUGUCGGAGGUGAAAUUCUUGGAUUUAUGGAAGACGAACUGCUG
rnacentral:rRNA from 1 species